rnacentral:rRNA from 1 species
AUAACGACUCUCGGCAACGGAUAUUUCGGCUCUCGCAUCGAUGAAGAACGCAGCGAAAUGCGAUACCUGGUGUGAAUUGCAGAAUCCCGUGAAUCAUCGAGUCUUUGAACGCAAGUUGCGCCCGAGGCCAUUUGGUCUAGGGCACGCCUGCCUGGGUGUCACA